rnacentral:rRNA from 1 species
UCUAAAGUCUAAAACGACUCUCGGCAACGGAUAUCUCGGCUCUCGCAUCGAUGAAGAACGUAGUGAAAUGCGAUACUUGGUGUGAAUUGCAGAAUCCCGUGAACCAUCGAGUCUUUGAACGCAAGUUGCGCCCCAAGCCUUCUGGCCGAGGGCACGUCUGCCUGGG